AGCUUUGCGCAGUGGCGAUAUCGUAACCAAUGAGGUUCAACCGAGGUGCGAUUAUUGCAGGUUGAAAACUAAUACCAAUAUCCCGCCUUGGGGACGUGGACCGUCCGCAUUGGCAAUUUUUGAACACCCCGAAAGGGG